CGGGCUGUAGCUCAGUUGGUAGAGCGCGUGGUUUGGGUCCACGAGGCCCCGGGUUCGAGCCCCGGCAGCCCGA
rnacentral:tRNA from 1 species